AUGGCUUUGCAGAGCGUUCUGGAAGCACUGUGGCUGGAGCUCCUCCUCAGCUCUCUCUGGAAUGUUGCAGAGAGCAAGGACCGAGUAUUUCAGCCUUCCCCUGUGGUCUCUUCGGAGGGUGCUCUGGCAGAAAUCUCCUGUAAUCACUCUAUAUCCAAUGCUUACAACUUCUUCUGGUACCUUCACUUCCCAGGAUGUGCACCAAGACUCCUUGUUAAGGUCUCAAGGCCUUCUCAGCAGGGACGCUACAACAUGACAUAUGAGCAGUUCUCUUCAUCACUGCUUAUCCUCCAGGUGCAGAUGGCAGAUGCAGCCAUUUACUACUGUGCUCUGGGGGACACAGAGGCAGGGAAUCCAUGA